GAGUGCUUUGUUUACCUCCUGUCUGCCAGGUUACCUGUUUAAUGGUCAUUUGAUUGGAUAACCUGGGGAGCCUGGCCAGUCUUUUGUAAUGAUAAAUACUUAGUUCCUGAGCCAGGUCACAGGCUCACACCCUGUUCGUAUCUUAAAUAUGCCCUUAAGACAGGAUUUGUGAAGGAAAAAGACAAUGGGGCGGUUUCCCACUUUGACCUUGCAGAGAAAUAAUUGAGGUAAGUUUGUUCAGGCCUUUUUUUCUGUGGGGUUUUCAGACAUAUGGUUUAUAUAUUUAUGUACAUGUUUGCUUGGUAUAUUUAUGAACAUUUAUUACAUAUCUAAGACCUUAAAAUUCUUAUCACAGGGUUUUAGAAGACAUCUGAAGGCAACCCUGUAUAGGCAAUUUGUAAAUGUUUAAGUGUCUUGCUGUGUUUUUAUAUUUUCUUGGAAGCUGCCCAGAGUGGCUGGGGCAACCCAGUCAGACAGGUAGGAUACAAAUAAUAAAAUAUUUUUUCAUACCCUCUAACAUCUAUCCAGCGAAAAUAUGGCCAUCCCAUUCCAUAAUGAUAAUUUUACAAUUUAUACCCCACACAUCUUACCAGGUUGCCCCAGCCACUCUGGGCAGCUUCCAACAUAUAUAAUAACAUAAAACCUUUUUAAAAACUUCCCUAUACAGAAUUGCCUUCAGAUAACCUACACAGGGACAUCCUAAGGAAAAGCGGGACAUUCCAGGAUCAAAUCAGAAACUGGAGCAGCUUCUCUAAAUCAGGGAUGUUGUUGGAAAAUAGGGACACUUGGAUGUUCAGAUAAAAACUGGUCUGUCACAAUCACAACAGAUGAUUUGUGAAAACAAACAAAUCAGAGGGCAAUUUGAGGGAAAAGCCGGGCUGGUCCUCUUCCCAUUUAGCUCUGACAGACUGAUAUCAUUAGAUCAGGAGGGAAGUGGAGCUCAUUCUGGGCACCUUUUUAAGAACAACAAGCUAAGAAAAUGUUUUAUGACCUAGAUUAGCAAAACCUUGCCUGAAUUCUAACCUGAGGUGUCAAGAGGAACCCUCUUCAUGUCAGCUAAAUUGACUGUUUAUGGAUCUCGGCCAGGAAAGCUUGACGGAAGCAAUGUCAGGAAUGCUGGAGAGGUCAGCUGUGUGACUAGUGAGCUGACAUUUCCUGAAGAUGUGAGGCAUAAUCUGAGAGCUAUGUUAACAGUUAAAUAUUUGUUGGAGGUGGACAGAAAAUGAUCAGAGACAGGAUUCCCCUCUUUAUUUUUCACCUCCCAUUGUUGUUUAGCAGCGAGGCAUUAUCUUAAAUAAAAACACACACACACCCAAAGCUCAGCAAAGAACGAGGAUGGAAUGCCAUUGUGCUUCUUUUGCAAAUUCAUGGUUUUGUGCAAUCUUUGUCAGCGCUUAGGAAGCUGCCUUAUAUCAAACCACAGGCUAGGUCUAUGUAGCUCAGUAUUAUCUCCACCCCCUCCCAAUUUUUUGUUUUUAUUUUUUAUUUUGACAAAGUACUAAUCAUAAAUAAUUAAGAAUAAAAACGUGCACCCCACCCCCAAGACCAUUCCAUUGUAACUACCCAACCUCCCAAAACUUCAAGACCUCUUGUGAUUGUUUGACCCCUUUCUGUUUUAACAGUACUUCUACAAACACCCUCCGUAUCUCCUCAAAACCAUUUCUCCUGUAUAUUCCCUAUCUUACCUUAAUGACACAUGUUAAUUUACCAUUAAUAGCUAUAUCCCACGCCUCUUUAUACCAUUCUGCCAUUUUAUAUUCUGCUUGCCCCUUCCACUUCCUAUCUAUCAUAAUUUGUGCAGCUUUCAAUAAAUUUGUGAGCGAGUCCUUCAUAGCCUGCGAAACUUCCACCCCAUCGUAAACUGAUAAUAAUGCUACCUCUGGACUUUCGGUCAGCUUUAACCCAGUGAUUUCUGUUAUCUCCUUAAACAUCCUUUGCCAGAAAAAUUGUACAUAUUUACACCCCCACCACAUGUGAGCGUAAUUCCCGGUUUCCUGGCAUCCCCUCCAACAUAACAUCGAAUAUUCCUUGUUUAUUUGAUUUAAUCUGACUGGUGUUAAAUACCAUCUCCAAGCUAAUUUAUAAUAAUUUUCUUUUAUUCUUAUAGACUCAGUAUUAUCUACAACAGGGGUUGCCAACUUUUAGACUGAAGACUUCUUCGCAGCCAGGAAGCAGUGGUAUGGGGGCAUCCACUUGCACACACCUUCCUGGGACCCAGUGUGGUGUAGUCGUUAAGCGUAGUAGACUCGUAAUCUGGUGAACUGGGUUCAUGUCUCUGCUCCUCCACAUGCAGCUGCUGGGUGACCUUGGGCUAGUCACACUCCUCUGAAGUCUCUCAGCCUCACUCACCUCACAGAGUGUUUGUUGUGGGGGAGGAAGGGAAAGGAGCUGCUUUGAGACUCCUUAGGGUAGUGAUAAAGUGGGAUAUCAAAUCCAAAGUCUUCCUUCAGGAAAGGCAUCUUCUGUACCACAUGAUUACAUCAGUGGCUUGGACCACCUAUUACUCCCAGCCGGUGGCUUGGGUUGGUUCACCAGCUAUGGCCAGUCCAGGACAGGAAUAGCCUUCCCACAGCAGCCCACACACUAGUAACUUCACACCUGGAGUACUGUAAUACAUUGCAUGUGGGGCUAUUCUUGUGCCUGAUUUGGAAGCUACGACAAGUGCCAACCACCACCCCCUCCCUUGUUUUGGAGUUGCGGGGGGAUCUUUGCACCACGGUGCCGGAUAUGCUUGAGCAACAGUGUGUAGAACUCAGCAGUGUGUGAGGCCAAACAAACAGAAGAGUCUCCGAUAUAGGUUUGGCAGAGUCGGCAUGCAAUGUUAAGUCUGUUCCAAGGGUUGGGCAAACAACAAUCCACAUAGUCAGACCAUCCAGCGGUCGGGGAAUCUGAUGAUCAUGAAGCCAAGGGUCCAGAUGGCGAACAAGAAGCAACAAGGUAGAACCGGGAACCACAGGCGUUGUUUCCAGCAUCUGUCUGCUGCUGGGAGCUCUGCUUAAGAAGGCUGAAGCCAGCUGGUUCUCAUCAGCGCCUUCUCCUCUGUGUCCUUGAAGGCUGACUAGCUGCAGGUGGAGGUCAUUUCACCUUUAUGCUGCUGUUCUCCUGGUUCAUGACAGGGGAGCGUGUAUGGCCUAGAGCAGUGAUGGCCAAACUUGGCCCUCCAGCUAUUUUGGGACUACAACUCCCAUCAUCCUUAGCUAACAGGACCAGUGGUCAGGGAUGUUGGGAAUUGUAGUCCCAAAACAGAUGGAGGGCCAAGUUUGGCCAUCACUGGCCUGGAAGGUGUCCCAAGGUCCAGCCUUCUGGUCUGAGGUUCCUCGCAUUCCCCACGUUUCACAUGCAAUCCCAAGAGAAUAAUUGCUUUUGGAGCAAUCCCUUGAGGACGGUCUGAUCCUGUAUUUCCCACCUUGAUCACCAAGAUCCUCUCAUGGGGCACUUCUGGUGGUUCCCACACCCCUGAGGUUCAGCUGGCCUUCACUAGGGACUGAGCUUUUCUUGUGGCAGGCCAUGCCCUCUGGAACUAUGCUUUUAAAACUAUGCUGAAAAGGGGCAACGGUGAUGUUUCAGCUACUAAAUCUGGAGCUCAUGGCCCAUUUCAAGCAGCAAGCAUGUCAGUGACCGAUUUGACAGAAAAGCUGGUACAAAAUGAACAGCUGGUAGCAUGACUCAAAAGAACUUGUCAGGGAAAAGGAUAAUGAGUUAUGCCUUAAAGAACAACAAUUAAAGAAAGAAAAAGAAGCAACUGAAAACCAAGAUUUCCAAAUUAAAGCUGCAAAACAAAGCCAAAGUAAUAUCCUUAACAACACAACUCAAAAAGCAAUUACCAGGAGAUGAAAUCCAAGAAGGAAUAUCCAAGCAAAAGAGAGCUGCAAGUCGUGGAAAAAUAUUGGUACUUAAAAAGACAGUUGAGGAACUAGAAAAACAGAAUGCCUCCCCCAAAAUGAAGAGCUACAGAAAAAGAUUGGUGGUGAUGGGGAGUUGCUCACUCUCUCAGUCUCUCGACAAGAAACAGCCCAUUUCGAAAAGGAUCUAGACCAGGGGUAGUCAACCUUUUUAUACCUACUGCCCACUAACGUAUCUUUUUUGAUGGUAAAAUUUCAUUACUGCCCACCAGUGUACAAUGGAAGGAGGAUUCAGCUUGUGCCGCCCACUCAGAAUCCUGAAACGCCCACUAGUGAGUGGUAUGGACCAGGUUGACAACCCCUGAUCUAAACAGGCAACCGUCUCUCUCUGAGUCAUCCAACGGACUUGGACUCCUCUUCAACGGUCCUCCCUCCCUAGAGUUCCAGAACCCAAGCACGUGAAGUGGGCGGGGCCUGUGACAGAAGGCGUCUGUUCGCUAACCUCAGUCUCUCUCUCACAGAGGAUGCCGGGAAGUGCGGGGUGGGGAGGGGCCGGCAGUGCCGAAACUCACCUGAGGGAAGGAAGAGAGUCAGGCAGGGAGUGACGCGCUCACCGGCCCCUCAGCGAGACCCGAGUGGCAGGUGCCUCAGGGGUGCAGGUCGGACAUUUUGUGUAUACAUUGCUUCUCUUUCCUGGAAAUGCUCGCUCUCUUUAAUCUGAAUGCUUUCAAGGUUUUCCUUAUGUUCCAGGAGGUGGCUGCAUCUUUGACUUCAACUUUCUUGAUAAGGUUCUGAAUCAGAAAUUUCAUACUCUGCAAUGACGCCUCCUUUGAGGACUGACCUGCUGGGAACCUGAGGGCCCUGCCCUUCUUCUCUC
rnacentral:lncRNA from 1 species